AAGAAGCUGACCGGCGCCCUCUAGACCUCUGCCCUAUCUGCUUACGCAAGUUGCAGUCUGCCAUUGGCUUCAGCAUUGAGGAAAGAUAUAAAGCGCUAGUGAGAUGGAUCGAUGAUGAAUCUGCUGACACCCCUGGAGUAACUCCGAAACACAGUCGGGAGCAUAGUGGGAAUUUACCAAAACCCGUUGAAGCCUUCAAGGAAUGGAAGGAGUGGAUAAUGAAAUGCCGUGCCGUUCUCCAAAAAUAAGGACCUUCAAUUAGGAGUAAUUAAAAUAAACGUGCACAUUCUGCUUUCAUUUGGGUGGAGUACUUCAUUGGAAUAAACUACUUACUGAUUAUGUGCUGUGUCCAAGUAACAGGACAGAACCUUCUUUAAAGCACCUGAAUUGAAAUGAGACUCAUUUUGAAUAAUAAAAAUUCUGUAAACU